ACUUUAAAGAGAGAAGUUGAAAAUUAGCAAUGCAUCACCAAAAAAAAAAAAUCCAAUACUGUAGUACAGUGAAUAAAAGUCAUGUAUCAACAGUCUUUACAACAUGGACAGUUAAACCUUUUGUAAUUUAAUUAAAACAACAAAAGAGAAAACAAACAAGCAGAUUGAGAUGUCCUUCAACGAUGCUUGAUGACGUGGCAGCCGAGACAUGCAGCAUUCUAGGACGCAGCCUUAUUAAAAAUAAAAAAAAAUGGACGCAGCCUUAUUUAUUUUUAUUUUAUAUAUGUAUAAUGUACCCCCUGACUGAACUUGUAUUUCUUAUUAUUUAAAAAAAUAUAUUAAAAAUAUUUUUAAAAGAACGCAGCUGUGCGUUUGAGAAACGACCGGAAACGACUUAUAUGUCGCGAGGCCAUCACGUGACCACAAUAUUUACCAGAAGACCGUUAUUUGCUCGAGUUCCCUCAACUUUUUUGUCGCAAAUAACAUUAUUAAUAACCUGUAAAUAAUAAAAUUUGUACACAUUACGUUCCUUUUCACGUUGUAAUAGUAUGUUUUUGGUUUAAUAGUCGGCUUUAAGUUAGUUUUUCUGUCAGUUUGAUCGUCAAAAUCUUGAAAGUUAUCUACAGCCACACAUCCACUGUAUACCAAGUUAUGAUGAUCAAUUAUGAGAAUGCAAAAUGAUUUAUAGAUCAGUAAACAAUCAACAAAAAGGUAAUGUCUUAAUUAAUAUAUUUCUGCUUUUGUUACUUAUUCAUGUAUUUGAAUUACAUCAUUCAAAAUCAAAUGUUAAUAAUUAUAGGGUUUCAACUUGUUGCAGCUUUACAAAAAAUGUAGAAUUUGUAGGAGCAUGGACAACUGAGUAACAAAGUCAUAUUAUGCAGAUGGGUGCUCAUGGUGACCUCCAAAUAAAUACAUGGACAGGCUGCUAAAGAGGGUCAGGAUGAUGGAGAUGCAAGAGCCAAAGACAGCACGGACCAAACACCAGGCCAGAAUUCUGCAUGAGUCAGUUUCCAGCCUUUUUCACAAAGUUGCCGACAACUGGAAGAAUGUCCCAAAUUGCUGAAAAAAGAAAUUCAAUUGAGUAAUUUUCACUCUAGAGACCCUGGGGUGACCACCAAGGACGAAUGAAAACUCCAGUGAGUGUCUCUAAGGUAGAUCCUAAUGCAGAUGGAUGGAAUGUUGAUCCGCCUAACAUGCAAGAUUUUCUGUACCGAGAACUUUGGAUGACCAUCAAGACAAUCACUCGUUUUGAGUCCUGAGACCCUGGGGUGACCACCGUGAACAAAUACAGACUGCAAAAAGGCAGUCUUGACGGUUCUAGGAUGAAUGCAAAUAAAGACUGACCACCUGACUUCAGCGGUCCAGUCUCUUGUGGGAAGCAGCUGUUUGUUACCCCAAAUACGGAUGAAGAGUGACGAAGAGGAUGAUGACUUUUUUUCCUCAAACAUCAUCUGAAGAUCUUGACAGGCUGGAGACAAAAUGAACAGACUGAGGGUUUAUACAAAGAAUCUUACUCAGCCAAUAUUAAAGAUAAGAUAUUUUUACAAAAUGUUCUUUUCAUUGUUUAGGAUGAUUUUAUGUAGAAAACAAUACAUCACAAAAAAGACUUUAGCUGGGUUUUCACAGGCAGUGCCUUACACACACACUAACCACAAUUAUAAACGCAACACUAACACAGAUUUAGACAGAUUUGUGAAUAAUAUUUGAGAGAAAUAGGCCUUUUGGGGACAUAGAAAAUAUUUAAGUUCAGCUCAUGAAAUGAAAAAUGGGGGCAAAAAUUUUUUUUAACAAGUGCAAUACAAAUAUCAACCAUAAUACUGAUCGUUUUAAAAAAAAGUAAGUCACUAUAUCUUUCUAGAAUCUUACACAAGACUCAGUUACAUGAACGAUCAAAAUAAAUUAACGUCAGACAGGUGGGCGAAAUAUCAAUAUUAAAGCAUGAAUAACUGUUAUCAACCCAAUUUCAAUGUAUUAUUUAAAUGAUCCCACACAAAACAGUUUAUUAUUUAAAUGCAUUAUUACUACAUACCUUAAG